GCCUGGCUGGCUCAGUUGGUGGAGCAUGGGACUCUUGAUCUCAGAACUGUGAGUCUGAGCCCCAUGUUGGGUG
rnacentral:tRNA from 1 species